rnacentral:snoRNA from 1 species
UUGUCCUCGUGUUAUUUGCAAGCUGUUCUUAAAGGUUUGUGAUUGUCAAGAAGGACAUACAUUAAAAUUUCAACAACUCGUUACUAUC